AAAAACGGCCCCAGUUCGGAUUGGAGUCUGCAACUCGACUCCAUGAAGUUGGAAUCGCUAGUAAUCGCGUAUCAGCUACGACGCGGUGAAUGUGUUCCUGAGCCUUGUACACACCGCCCGUCAAGUCAUGGGAGCUGGUAGCACCCGAAGUCGUGUCGAUUCAGACAUGCCGAAGGUGAGAUCGGUGACUGGGACUAAGUCGUAACAAGGUAGCCGUAGGGGAACCUGCGGCUGGAUCACCUCCUUUCUAGAGGA
rnacentral:rRNA from 1 species